rnacentral:lncRNA from 1 species
AGAAAGCUCUGUUUCAGAGAAUAAACAGUUAGAUUUUAAGGGUGGCUCUGUAAGAUUGGCAGAAGAUAUUAAUAAGACAUGGUGGUUGUUUGCAGGUGUUUGAUAGACUCUCGAUCUAUGUAACUGAAUAAUACCGUUCUUCUUAUUGAAUCAAAUGGAGUUACAGCUCUGAUUGUGAUAAGCACUCAAGUUCUCAUAACGAACUAAGCACUCAUCACCAGUCUCAUAGCGACUGUGAAGUAUAGACUCAUAACGUCUAGUACAAUCAAGAUCAAAGCAUAAAAGACUCGUAACAGAACUACUCUAUAUUUAUAGUCUUCGAGUUGCCUUUCAGCUCCGCAACUGCAAAGCCUCUCUCUGAAGUAGAAGCUUCCCAACUUCUUUAUUUAAAUGAGUAACCGCAGUUUCAUUCAACGGCUUCUCCCGCUACUUUUCCUUUCUUCUUUCGAUAGUAUACCUUCUUAUACCUAUCAAUACUUCCCCCAACGAAAUCCAGCUUGCCCUCAAGCUGGUAAUCAGGAAAACAAGUGAUGAAUUCUUGAUAUGACACCCACGAAUUCUCGAGAGAAGACUUAUCCUGCCAUUUGACCAACAACUCUAACUCUCCUGUAACAUUGUAUCGUUUGUCCAAGACAUCCUCUGGUACUACCAAAUCAUCGGCUGCUGUAAGACACCCCGGAGGUAGAACACUGCACUGCACUUGCUGCCCCACCGCAAGCUUUAAUUGAGACACGUGAAAGACAGGAUGGAUGCGAGCAUCAGCAGGCAAUUGUAGUUUGUACGCAGUGUUCCCCACACGAGCACUGACCUUAUAGGGUCCGUAGAACUUGGCAGCUAACUUCUGACAAAAACGACGAACUACUGUCUUCUGUCGAUAAGGUUGUAACUUCAGGUAAACCAUAUCGCCUAUUUCAAACUCCACAUCACGCCUACUCUUGUCCGCUUGAUUCUUCAUGAUUUCUUGAGCCCGUAAUAGAUUCUGUUUCAAAUCCUCUAGAGCUUCAUCACGGUCACGCAAAGCCUUGUCCAGUUCAAAGUUCGUCGUGGAACCCGAUUCAAAACGCAGCAAAGGAGGUGGAUCACGACCAUAAACAACCUUGAACGGUGUAGUCUGAAGAGACUUAUGAUACGAAGUAUUGUACCACAAUUCUGCCCAAGCCAAAUACGAAUGCCAAGUUCUCGGAUGCGACGAUGAAAAACAGCGUAAGUACGUUUCCAAACAUCUAUUUAGAACCUCUGACUGUCCGUCGGUCUGCGGGUGAAAGGCAGUGCUGUAUUUCAAUGUCGUGCCAGCCAAACGAAAUACCUCAGACCAGAACGAGCUCAAAAAGAUACGGUCACGAUCAGAGACUAUACUUUUUGGAAACCCAUGCAGCUUGACUACCUCUGCAAUGAACUUCUUAGCCACGUCUAAAGCCGAGAAUGGAUGUUUUAAUGCGACAAAAUGAGCGAACUUGCUGAGACGGUCAAUCACCACCAGUAUUACGUUAAACCCAUUCGAAGAGGGCAAUCCUUCAAUGAAAUCCAUAUUUAUAUCUUCCCAUACUAACUCCGGAAUUGGCAGUGGUUGGAGAAGGCCUGCCGGAGACAAGGUAGAAUGUUUAUGUGUUUGACACACUGCACAAGAGGCAACAUAUUGUUGAAUCGUCUUAUACAUGCCUUUCCAGAAGAACGAACAUUGUACCCUCUUUACUGUCUUCAACACCCCAGAAUGACCACCAAGUCUGCUAUCGUGAGCUUCCUUCAAAAUAGUAGGUAUGAAACGAGAUUGUUUCGGAAUUACUAACCGUUGUUUGGACCACAAGUUCCCGUCAACCACCGAGUAUUUCUUAGAUAUCAACUCCUUCUUAUCUAUCUUCGAAAUAACACUUUGAAUUCCACUAUCUUCCUUGAUUUCUUUAAACAGAUCCUCCCAUUGCAGAGCCGUUGGUACCGUUAAAGCCAGCAAUAAAGAAGAAACUGACAUUGAGCGAGAUAACCCAUCAGCUGCUUUGUUCUCUGGCCCUGGUUUGUAGAAGAUGUCAAAAUCGAAGCCCAAAAUCUUAGUAAGCCAUUUCUGAUAUUCCAUAUUCACUUCUCUUUGUUCCAACAAAAAUUUUAAGCUUCGCUGAUCGGUGUGAACAUGAAACUUCCGACCCAACAGGUAAUGUUUCCAUUUCCUAAUAGCCAACACUAUCGCCAUAAGUUCUCGUUCGUAAGCCGGUUUUUGAUGUUCUCUUGGCGUCAAAGCGUGACUAAAAACGCUAUAGGCCGUUUAUCUUGCAUCAAUACUGCUCCCAAGCCAAAUCCCGAUGCAUCUGACUCAAUAACAAAUGUUUUAUUAAAAUCCGGUAAGGCCAACACAGGGGCAUGGACCAUAGCAUACUUCAGUUUGCUGAACGCUUCCUGUGCUAACUGGGACCAGCAAAACUGAUCUUUCUUCAGUAAUUCCGUCAAUGGUCGACCAAUGCUGCCAUAGUCUCUGAUGAACUUCCGAUAGUAGCCUGUCAAGCCUAAAAAUCCACGCAGCUGUUUCACUGUUUUCGGUUCCGGCCAUUCUUGCAUUGCACUGAUCUUUGCAGAGUCUGUUGCUACCCCCUCCUUUGAUAUCAUGUGACCCAAAUACUCAACUGACGACACUCCAAAAGAACAUUUCUUCUGGUUAGCGAAUAGAGUUUGUUCACGCAGCACUUGUAGGACCAAACGGAUGUGUUCCGCAUGACUUUCCUCGUCUCUACUGUAUACCAAAAUAUCGUCAAAGAAAACGAGAACAAACUUUCGGAGAAAUGGUUUGAAGACCUGAUUCAUGAGAGCUUGGAAUGUGGCCGGUGCGUUUGUGAGGCCAAAAGGCAUCACUAGAAACUCAUAAUGACCCUCCACAGUCCGAAAAGCUGUCUUCGCAAUAUCAGCUUCUACCAUUCUGAUCUGAUGAUAACCCGAACGCAAGUCCAAUUUUGUAAAGAUCGUGGCUCCAUGUAACUCGUCGAGCAGUUGAUCAAUGACUGGAAUAGGGUAUUUAUCCAACACUGUAGCUCUAUUCAGUGCCCUAUAGUCCACACAAAAACGUAGUGACCCGUCCUUCUUCUUUACUAGCAAAACAGGACUUGAGAAGGGACUGGUACUUGGUCUGAUUAUUCCACUUGUAAGCAUUUCGUUCACCAUCUGUUCCAUAGCAAUUUUACUUGCAUGAGGAUAUCGGUACGGUCGAACAGAAACGGAAGAUACUCCAGGUUGUAGAAUGAUCGCGUGUUCCUUUCCCCUGAACGGUGGAAGUGUUGUAGGAACCUUGAAAACAUCAGCGAAUUCUUGGAGUAUCUCAGAGAGUGUAGGACGAACUUCUGGAAACGAAGAUGUAGCUAUAGAGGUAGCAAGCAGCGCUUCUCUUCCUGACUUGCUAACUGUAUAGACUGGUUUCAAUGACUUGAAAGAAAAUUUGGUACAAUGUAGGGACUUAUCGCCAUACAAAGUAACAUUUUUCCCGUCGUAGGUAAACGAAAAGACCUGCUCCUUCCAGUCUACUUCGCACGUACCUAACGUUUCAAGCCAUUGAACGCCGAGUAUCACAUCUACGUUCCCCAGUUCAAGAGAGAUGAAGUCACUUGUGAAGUUGGUGUCAUUUAACCGGAAAGUAACUGCUUGGCCAACUCCCGAGGCUUUUACAGUCACUCCGUUUCCCAACAACACGUCCAAGCUACUAUCUGCACAAACUUUCAAUCGUAGCUUGUCCACAAUUUCCGGUGAGAUGAAAUUGUGUGAUGCUCCGCUAUCGAGCAUGACUAUCACCUCUUUGUCUUGUAUAAAUCCCCUCAUCUUAGUUGUUCUCGGGGAGUCGAUGCCUAGGUAAGAGUUCAGUGACAACGUAUGUAAGAUUUGUGUCGCUUUAGAGGCUUGAUCUUCCUCUUCUCCAUCAGAAUCACACACCUCAAGCUGUAGUCCGUUGAUCACCGUUAAAACACGUAGUUGUCUAUUAGGACAGAGCGGCUUGUGAGCUGGUGUCCAGGGUGCUUUGCAUUUGAAACAGACCUUGUCUUUUCUCAUGCGAUCCAGUUCGGCAUCUGUAUGUUGUAAUCUUGGUCUCAUAGCAUCUCGUUGUGGCGCUACAUUUUCCUUGUUUGCCGUUGACCCAAACUUGAGAGCUUCAGUCUGUGGCUUAUUAGUGUUCGUAGCAGCACGAGUUACUGCCGUUUGUCUUUGAUAGCCUCCCCGCCCUUCACUAGCAGCCGAGCUUAUCACUCGACAAAACGUAGUACUCUGCAUUUUUAAUACCGCCAGCUUAUGUUGAGUUAACGUAACCGGCUCUUUCAUGCGGAUAACCUCCUUCAUAUCUGGUUUCAAACCGUUAAAGAAUAUCUUUAUCAAGUUCUUUUCAUCCACCCCUGUUACUUGAUUCCUCAAUGCUUCAAACUCAUUCACGUAAUCCUUAAUCUCGCCUUCUUGUUGUAAGCGAAAUAAUCUUGCUGCCGGGUCAUUAUCAAUAGGACCUCCAAACCUGUCCAACAUCCUCUGCGUAAACUGAUCCCAACUGAAGAAUGGUUCGCUGAUAACCUCUCCGUUGAACCAUUGUAACACUGGCCCCUCUAGGCUUAGAGAUACCAACUGAAGCUUUUCUUCCUCGUUGUAGUUACCGUACCUGAAAAAACGCUCCACACGGGAGAUCCAAUCGAAAGGCAAAGGACCAGAGAACACAGGCAUUUCUAUCUUUCUCAACAUUUUAUCACGAGAUGCAAUCGAAUCUUGAAUUCUCCGAUAACCUAAAUGUGUUGGAGAUUGUUCCGGUUGAGUACGAGAUAACGGUACCUGAUCAACCGGAGGUUGCGACGCUGAAGCGAUUUCUUUCCCCGGCCGUUGAGUGAACAUCGCCGUUUCUUCGAAUCGCGUCAGCAUAUCCGUAAUAACGCUCAUCUUCUGUUCCAGAGCUCCAAAUCUCGAAUUCGAUUCCUCUCCCAUCGAUUCCAUCUUCUUCUCCAGCGACUCGAACUUCGCCGUCGCUGCUCGCUCGCUCCGAGCAAGCUUCUCGUAAUUGUGCUUCGUCAGCUCCAUCUCGUCUUGAAUCUGUUGAAGAUCCAUCGAUUUUGCUGACUCUCCGAUCGUCGACUUCUCUCGAUCACCUCCGUUACGCGUUUCCACCAUCUCGCAGCGUCGCGGUGGCUCCGACCAGUUUCGCCGCACCAAUGAUAGACUCUCGAUCUAUGUAACUGAAUAAUACCGUUCUUCUUAUUGAAUCAAAUGGAGUUACAGCUCUGAUUGUGAUAAGCACUCAAGUUCUCAUAACGAACUAAGCACUCAUCACCAGUCUCAUAGCGACUGUGAAGUAUAGACUCAUAACGUCUAGUACAAUCAAGAUCAAAGCAUAAAAGACUCGUAACAGAACUACUCUAUAUUUAUAGUCUUCGAGUUGCCUUUCAGCUCCGCAACUGCAAAGCCUCUCUCUGAAGUAGAAGCUUCCCAACUUCUUUAUUUAAAUGAGUAACCGCAGUUUCAUUCAACGGCUUCUCCCGCUACUUUUCCUUUCUUCUUUCGAUAGUAUACCUUCUUAUACCUAUCAGUGUUACCUUCUCGUCAUAAGAGCAUGUCCACACCCCGCUCGCUUCCUUUCUUGACAAUGCGUGCCACCCAAAAUUUCACCAGAAGGUGCGAGGUUGCCAUGGAUGGAG